CCUACGGGUAGCAGCAGUGGGGAAUAUUGGGCAAUGGAGGAAACUCUGACCCAGCAACGCCGCGUGAAUGAUGAAGGUCUUCGGAUUGUAAAGUUCUUUUCUAAGGGAAGAAGAAAGUGACGGUCCCUUAGGAUUAAGCCCCGGCUACAUCCGUGCAAGAAGCCGCGGAAAUACGUAGGAGCCGAGAGUUAGCCGGAAUGACGGGGCGUAAAGGGUGCGUAGGUGGUGUGGAAAGUUAGUAGCGUAACUCCAAGGCUCAACCUUGGAAUGAUUACUAAAACUGUUGGACUUGAGUGCAGGAGGGACAACCGGAAUUCCUAGUGUAGCGGUGGAAUGCGUAGAUAGUAGGAGGAACACCAGUGGCGAAGGCGGGUUGCUAGACUGUAACUGACACUGAGGCACGAAAGCGUGGGGAGCAAACAGGAUUAGAUACCCUUGUAGUC
rnacentral:rRNA from 1 species